AGAACGAACGCUGGCGGCAUGCCUAACACAUGCAAGUCGAACGAAGCCUUCGGGCUUAGUGGCGCACGGGUGCGUAACACGUGGGAAUCUGCCCUUAGGUACGGAAUAACUCAGGGAAACUUGAGCUAAUACCGUAUGAUGUCUUCGGACCAAAGAUUUAUCGCCUAAGGAUGAGCCCGCGUCGGAUUAGCUAGUUGGUGGGGUAAAGCCUACCAAGGCGACGAUCCGUAGCUGGUCUGAGAGGAUGAUCAGCCGCACUGGGACUGAGACACGGCCCAGACUCCUACGGGAGGCAGCAGUGGGGAAUAUUGGACAAUGGGCGAAAGCCUGAUCCAGCAAUGCCGCGUGAGUGAAGAAGGCCUUCGGGUUGUAAAGCUACCUUUUACCCGGGAAGAUAAUGACUGUACCGGAGAAUAAGCCCGCUAACUCCGUG
rnacentral:rRNA from 1 species